rnacentral:rRNA from 1 species
GACGUAGGGUGCGAGCGUUGUCCGGAUUUAUUGGGCGUAAAGAGCUCGUAGGCGGCUUGUCGCGUCGGCUGUGAAAACCCGCGGCUCAACUGUGGGCGGGCAGCUGAUACGGGCAGGCUGGAGUUUGGUAGGGGAGACUGGAAUUCCUGGUGUAGCGGUGAAAUGCGUAGAUAUCAGGAGGAACACCGGUGGCGAAGGCGCCUAUCUGGCCCGAUACUGACGCUGAGGCGCGAAAGCUAGGGGAGCAAACGGG